UUGGCCCAUUGAUCCAGCUUGUCCAGAUCUCUCUCUAAAACCUUCCUACUCCCAGGCAGAUCACUCCUGGCCAACUUGGUGCUGUCUGAGAACUUGCUGAAGCUGUACUCUGUCCCCUCAUCAAGAUCAUCAAUAAAGAUAUUUAACAGGACUGACAUCAAUAGUGAGCCCAGGGGAACAGCACAUGUGACAGGCCACCAGAGAGAAGAAGUCAUAUGUUAUUUACAGCAGAGGACAUGAAGGAGGAAGAACCUUAAUUGAUGGAGCCAGUUGAAAGAAAAAGACAAGUUUGAUUAAAAGAUCAGUCUCGGCUCUAGAGAUGAACACUUUCAAAGAUGAAACUACUUGAAAUAUAUCAGCUAAUUUCUAAAUCAGCACGAAAGAAUUGAAGGUUAUGAAGAAAUGGAUAGCUGAGCCAGAGGCUGAGACGGAGAUCAGGAAAAGCUCCCCUACCAAGCAUCUCCUGAAUCAAGCAGAUGUAUUUCUUUCUGGAGAAGAAAGAAAACAAAGAAAUAAAAGAAAAGAACAAACCCUAGAAAAUUAGAAGCUGUGGUUAAAAAAUUAAGUCAAGCCUCAAAGAU